AUUGAACGCUGGCGGCAGGCCUAACACAUGCAAGUCGAGCGAGCGGCGGACGGGUGAGUAAUAUCUGGGAACCUGCCUGAUGGAGGGGGAUAACGACUGGAAACGGUAGCUAAUACCACAUCCCAUCAGAUGUGCCCAGAUGGGAUUAGCUGGUGGGUGGGGUAACGGCUCACCUAGGCGACGAUCCCUAGCUGGUCUGAGAGGAUGAACAGCCACACUGGAACUGAGACACGGUCCAGACGCCUACGGGAGGCAGCAGUGGGGAAUAUUGCACAAUGGGCGCAAGCCUGAUUCAGCCAUGCCGCGUGUGUGAAGAAGGCCUUCGGGUUGUAAAGCACUUUCAGCGGGGAGGCGUUACCCGCAGAAGAAGCACCGGCUAACUCCGUGCCAGCAGCCGCGGUAAUAC
rnacentral:rRNA from 1 species